AUCUGUGAUGCAUACGUUAGCUUGGAAUUAUUGAUUGUUGGGUUUUGUCAGGUGUUUUGGAUUGCCUCUCCCACAGCCAAAGGCUUGGGAGAGGUUGCCGCAACCAUGGCUUCCCGCUAUGUGAAGAAGACGCUAGAGAGAGAAAGUAGAGAGAAAAAGUAUAACUUGAAAUUGUGAGCUUUAGGAUGGAGUCUUAGAGUGCAUAAUUUUACAGAAAAACAGUAGAGUCUUAGAGUUAGUUUCUGAGUUCCUUAUCUUGAAAAAUCAAUGAUUUUACUAAGAUUUUUGGGCUGCUUUAACACUGUUGAUUUCACUAUUGUUCCUAUUGCUGCUUCUGCUGUUUCUGCUGUUGUUUAUGCUCGUUUUCGCUGCUGAAUCAUUUUUUCUCUUCAGGUAAACUUUGUGAUGUAGCUUUUAUAGAGAUUUAUUGAAGAUAAGGAUCGUUUCAGCUCUUCAUACAUGUUUGAUGCGCUUUAUUGGAUUGGAUAAACAUUCGACAUACUAUCCAUGUUUCUAGUCUACAGUCUGUAAUGGUUAUUUACAUAUUGGUAGUUAAAAAAGAAUUCUGCUAGUAUCUUUUAGUUCCUGAAAAGAUAAAGAUCUCGCGGGGCUGAACAUCUUUACACGACUUUACGCUAAAAAAAGGGCACAUAUCUUAAAGAAAAUCAGCAAUUGUGCAUAUAUGGCAAUCUUGAAUUUCAGAUCUUUUGAGAGUAUUGUUUGUGUGAAAAAUCUUUGGAAAAACAAAAGGAUCUCUUAAGUAAUUUCUGGGAUUACUAGUUGUUAGUUCAAGUGCUUUCUUGCUGGGUUUUCGGGGGUAUUCUUGAGUUUAUGUUACUGCUGCUUUUGUUGACCAUUUGGUGGUGUUGUUGGCAUUGUGCUAUGACGUUCUGCUGCUCAGAGUACUUCAUUAUUAAAUGCUUUCACUAUCCACUUGUGUAAGUUCCUUUUUUCAAUUCUUACAUAUUUGCUAACGUUUGUCAACACAUGCUACUUAUAUUAUAUAUUCCUGCUCCAAAAUACUAUGUUUUAAAGUAAUAAAAAUAAAAGACUUAAUUAAGGGAAUAACAUAUUUAGUAGCUAUGUGAUGCCAAGGUAGAGUUAGAUUUUGCAGAACUACUCUUAUAUACAUGGACUUUAUAAAAUGCUUCUUCAUAUAAACACUAUAUAUUGUUGUCUUAUUUAUCAUUUCAAUGUGACUAACGGAGAUUUUUCAUCCAGAUUAUUUAGAUUUUAUUUCACAAAUUAUAGUGUUGGACUAUAAUUUGUUAAGCUGGAUCUGAAAGUACUACCUAAUAUAUAUUUAGUUAAAUUAAGGAUUCCUCCGGUGAAUGUUUCACGAGACACAGGUUGUAUGUUCUGCUAACGUUGGGAUUUAUUAAAAUC
rnacentral:lncRNA from 1 species